rnacentral:rRNA from 1 species
AUACGGAGGGUGCAAGCGUUACUCGGAAUCACUGGGCGUAAAGGGUGCGUAGGCGGUUUGAUAAGUCUGAUGUGAAAUCCUAUGGCUCAACCAUAGAACUGCAUUGGAAACUGUCAGACUAGAAUACUGAAGGGGCAGAUGGAAUUAGUGGUGUAGGGGUAAAAUCCGUAGAUAUCACUAGGAAUACCGAAAGCGAAAGCGAUCUGCUGGGAAGUUAUUGACGCUGAGGCACGAAAGCGUGGGGAGCAAACGGGAUUAGAAACCCCAGUAGUCC